CCUCCGCUCGUCCCGCCGUCGCGUCUCGCCGCCAGGAACCUCCACCCGCCCGGCGACAGCGGCGACAAAAUGGCAGACGGCGGCGGUCCGUCAUGGAGGAGCCCCUCCGCGCCCCGGCCGCCCCCGCCGCGCCUCCUGAGGGGAGGGGAGGGCCGCGCUCCGCUAUGGCGCGCCCAGACCCCCGCACAGCUCACCCCCCAACAACCGCCACCGCCGAGCGGCUCGAGGGCUCCGAGGCGGCCCCGGCUGAGGGGAACCCCCGCCCGGCGCGGAGAGGAGCGCGGAGCGGCGGGGAGGGCCCGACCGCCCUGCUUCCUCCUCCUCCUCCUCCUCCUCCCUCAGAGCUCGGGAGGGGAAAAAAAAAAAACAUGGCGCCGCGUCCUACUUGCGCUGCCCGCGCCUGGAGACGGCCCCGGGAGCGGUUCGGCAAUCCGCCUGCUUUGUGCCCCCGCGCAGGGGACGCAACGAGCCCCGCGGGAUGGCCGCGUCGCGUGCCCUCCUCCUCCCGGCCCAGGACUUUUUAAAGUUUAAAGAGCAGCUUCCAUCCAUCCAUCCGCCUCCGCCCUCCUCCCCGAGAGGGUAUUUAUCUUACCCGCGUCGUUUGGAGGAGCUGCAGUGGGUGCAGCUCAGUGUGAAUUCUGUGGGACUGAGUGAGCUGCCAGAGAUGGAGCUGGAUCCAGUGUAAGGCGUGAACAAAGGUGAUCCCUAGGUUGAAGUUUCACCAAGGAGGUCUCAGUCUGGAAUGUGGUUUAAUGGCACAGGUGAAGAUCUUGGAAAAGCAGAGCAUCUAUAGGUGUGUGAUAACCAUUGAGUCCUGGCCUGAAGCACCGAUUGAGCAGCUGGGGAAAGGACUGGUCAGCCCUGGAGAACUGGUGAAGGCAAUUCAACUGUGAGACAGGAAGGGGUGGAGCCUGGCUGCACCUCUCUUAGGCCUCAUUUAAGGACUGACUGCCACUGGGCCAGGAUCUGUGGUUGGGGAUCCCUCCCUUACGGAGUCUGUCUUGUGAGCCUAGAUCCUCAGAGAUGGAUGUCACUGAUUGGAAAUGCUGUGUGCUGACAAACCUAUGGAAUCCUGUCUUGUCAGAGUCCCUACGGAGCUGGGCAGCAGUGCUGGGCUGAGCUCAGCUCACCAUGGUGGGAAGUGGUCGUGGGGAGCCGUGGUCAGUGUCCUGCUGGAAGAUGAAGAUACCCUGUUCUUGUCUGUACCUUCUGGCUUUUUACGUUUGAGUACAGAGAAGUUGAUGUUCAGCCAUUUGGGUAACCUAAAGCACGAAGAUCAUGAUGCUGGUAUUUACGAGGUCUGCACACCAGGACUGUGAGUGCAAUUGGAGCCAAAGGAGCCUUGCUGUUCUGCUGGGGCUUUAUGAAAACUUCAGGAGCAUUUGAAAAGUUCUACUCUAUCCAGUGGGAGGAAAAAAGGAAAUGUAGUUUUUAUGCUUCACAGAAUCAUUAGGUUUUAAUUUAGCACAAGUAUCCCAGACCAACACAGAGUAUUUCUUUCUUAGAGUCAAAAUAAGAAGCAUAUCUAUGGUAGAAAGAGAGUACUGUGCAAAACUUGCUCCAGUGGGUAUGAGAGCUUUUCAGUCUGACAGUUUAAGUAGCGAAGAUGAAAGUGAGGACAGUUCUUGGGCAGGGGACUCGAAGAGGAAUGUGAUUCAUGGGGCGCAGUGACUGGUGUAAUUAGCAGUGCAGCUGCUGCAGUGCCCUGUGCCAGUGCUAAAAAAGCCUGUCGUGGCCCGUGCUCUGCUGCUCGAGUGGCAGUGAUAACGAUGGCCGCAGCAGUGCCAGCUCCAGGCUGCUGUAUGGGAGUGGAGAGGUUUCUGCUGGGUUUCAAAUUGGCAUGGAACCAUCAUAGGGUUUCCUGAGGUGUUCAGGCUGAGGAAAAACUCUGGAAUUGGAAGUGGCAGAGUUUUGUUUUGUGUUUUCUGUAAAAAAAAAAUAGUAAAAGAGUAGCGAUACAGAGGGAUUGAAUUAAUCUGGUGAUGAGUAAAACCUGUCAAAUUCAGGCAAGGAAAACCAAAGACUUGAACACCUUCAGUUUUAACAUUUUCAGCACGUGAGGUUUUAUUUCUGUAAUAAAUGCAUUUGUUUCGGUGUCCUAUUAAAUGAGGUUUAAAACUUCUUGCUGUGAUAGAACUUUCUAACUGUCAUUCUGCAAUAUCUGAAGCAUCUGACCUGUGGUUUGGUGUUUGUUUCCAUUUAUGCUGAGUGACACAUUUCAGACUUGACCCAGAGUGGAAUUUGGAGCGUGGAGCUCUUGAAGCGUUGGGACAAGGAGAAUGGGAAGGAAUGUUCUGCUGGAGCCAGGCUUCUUUCUCUGUAAAUGGCUGGACCAAGUGAGGACGAGCUUUCACUGGAGAGUGGGGGGGAUUUUGAAAUACUAACCACAAAAUGUUACAUUCUGUCACUAAUGUGCACCAUCAGAACUCACUUCUCUAGCACUCGACAAAUGCAAUUUGCAUUUGAAAUUGAAGUGGAUUCCCCAAAGUCUUACAUCAGUCUCGCAUCAAAGACAGCAGAAUUUCCUAGAAUUCAGGGACUCUGAUGCUUACUGUCAGAGCAAUCUGCUUACCUGCAUUGCCCCAACAUCCGUGUUAGCAUCUCCUAACAUGCCACCUGUGCAGUGGAAGUAAUCAUUUUGUCCUAUUUGAGAGAACACUUAGCUUCCUUCCUGGCUGUUCCAAGUGUAAUACAACCAUAAAUACAUACACACGCAGUGCUUCUAAUUUCUUUGCCUUCCUUAUCCUCUUCAAAGGGUUUCUUGCUCUUUUUCAGCCUUUUACUUGUCUUUGAUUCUGUUUCUGUCAAUUCCAUCUCCUUAGUCCUCCUGCCUCCCUCAAGUUUGUUUGGCAUUCUUCAGCAAUGGUGUUUAUGGCUCGAUUCAAGAGAUUAAAGAGGGAAUCACAAGUUCCUGCAUCCUGAGGUAUCGAAGGUUGUCAGCUAAUUUACAAAAACAUGCUGUAAUCAUUCCUCAUUGUCCCUGCUGACUGAUGGUACGAGUUCCACAGGCUUAAAUCCAGGCACAAAGAUGAGUCCUAAAAUAACACUGCAGGGUUUCUCCUUGUGCAGUAAGAGACUGUGCUCGACCCAAGCACCUGCUGGCUGCAACCUGAGUGACAGUAAGUAGUGUAGUUCUGUGGCUUGUGUGUCCAGCACGUAUAGAUGAGUACCAUGGGGCUCAGCACUAAUAAAGUCACCUUUUGUGAAAGCUGUAUUGCAUAUUGUCUUUGUCAUAGGUGGCUAUCAAUUUAUGGAACGGCAGUCACAUGGUGCUCUUGGAAAUGCCAUUAAAUACUAAGAUUCUCAGUUUGCUUGAAGGUUGUGGAGGUUGUUUUGGUUUUAAUAACAAAAAUCUCAAGCCUGAGAAUGGUUCAGUCCUUUUCCCAUGGCAUCUUUGAGCCUUUUUCCAAUAUGAUAAGCAGGGUGAGAACUGAUUGUUUUAAAAAUUAAAAUCUCCAUUUAAAGCCUAUGAAGUAAAAAUAGUUCUAGUUUGAAAAUGAAAAAUACUAUUUCAGAUGUUACAAAAGAAGGUUUGUUCAUCUCAGAGCUGACUCUUCCCUCUCCUCAACAAUUAGAUAUUCACAGCCUCCAGAGGAGGUUAGCAAAUAGGCUGGUUCGAUUGGAAGGGGCCUACAAAGUAACCGUGUCCAUUUGCAUCACACCUUAGGGCUGACCAAAAGCAGAGCAGGUUUUGAGUGUCUUUUAGUGUGCUUGGGUUUUGUUUUGUUUGCUUGGGUUUUUUUGGCUGAUGUGUAGAGUAGUGUGACGUGUGCCCACUGCUUUUUUUGCCUAGUUAAAUAAUUCAGCAGUUAAACUCCAGGGUAAAUCACAGGUGGGAAUGGGAUGUGAAACUUGUUUUACCCAGCUCCCUGAGUAACACAGGGUGCUGCAGUUUUUAGUGGUUCAAAAUGUUGUUGAGGGAGAUGUGACCAAUGGAUUGAUAACUGAGUAACACCCGUGAGAUGGACAGAGUAGGAGGAAGAACUGAGUCUGUUUUAACGAUGAGUAAAUUGAGGUAAGUGAUCUGCACAUCAUGUGGGAAACCUGGAUAUAUAUUAUAUAUAUAUAUAUAUGCAUAUCCAAAUGUGAGCAGACCACAAACUUCUAUCCAUCUGAAAGUGUCUGGUGCUGCUUGGAGGUGCAGGCUGGGCUCUGCAUAUUCCGUGUGCCUUCUGCCAUUUUCUUGCCCAGUUACAGAAGUAGAUGCAGCUGCUCUUAAGACAUUUGGGAAGAAAAUGAAAAUUCAACAGAUUGAAGACUUGUGUUAGAAUAUGUGGGUGUUGCCUUUGUUCAAAGGGAGAGUGAAAGGGAAGGAAGUAAACUCUUUAGCCCAGAAGUUAUCAAAGCAGAGUUAAUUUUGAAGUAGAAGGGUGUUUUUGGAAACCUCCAGGGCAGGAUUCUUCUAUUGUAUAUUGAUCUGCACCAGGAAUACCUUUAAGGGGGAAGUAUUGUACUGGAAUAAGUAGAAUAAAUUGGUGUAGUGGAGGAGGCUGAACAGGUACCAGGUGUGGUGGCCUGGCUUGUACUGUUGAUGGAAUCAUUGCCAUUGACCUCAUGAGCAUUUUGAUUUUGGCUUGUGAGCUGCUUGCAGUUCCAUUCCUGCAGCGAGGAUAAAGAGCAAUCAACAGAUUUGCACAGAAGCUGCUGAUAGACAUCAGCCAUGAGAUCUAGCCUGGCAUUUAAAUAAAGCUUAAUUAAACAUAUGUUUUUUCUGGAAAUGUUUGAGAAUUUCUGGUGGUCACACUGGCAUUUUUCCUAUGGUGCACGUGGAGUCUGCAAUCAGCAAAAGCAGUUUUAUGGGGAGUAUGCACUGUGUGUCCUCUAAAGCUGUAAUUCAACUGUGUUUCGAGUCUGCAGAAGCAGAGUAGCUACGGGGGGAGGCAGGACUUGGGCAAGUGACAUGCACUUUUACUGCAGUCAGUGCUGGGGUGAGGAUCCCUACCUCCUUCCCCAUGGUACCCUAACCCAGGGAGCACUGAAAUGAAGGCCUUCACAGGAAGAUAAACCUCAGUAUGCUUCUCCAGUGAAAUGUAUUACACAUUUGUUAGCUUUUGGGUAACAGCCAAAUCAUUCGUUGUCCCUCCCCACACACGCUUCCAUUUAUAAAUGAAGUCUUCAGUCUUUUGAAUGUCAUACAAAACUGUUCAAAACCAGACUUGAGCAAUUGAGAUUCAAUUAGUUCAAUCAGAGCGAUUCAAUUGACACAGCUGAGUUCUGCGAUCCGAACAAAAGAUUCUGCUGUAAUUGUGUAGGAAUAUAUAAAUGCUGAUACGAUUGUCUUGUCCUCAGCCCUCCAGAAGGAUGCACUGCAUUUUAAAACUUACUGCCAUGCGCCCCGUUUCCUACUGGAUGCUUCUGUGGUGCUGCAGCCCCUUAUCGAAUUGGAGGUGGACACAAUCCAGUGGAAUACAGGAAGGUGUGCUUCCUGUGGGCAAACCUGCUGAAUGUUGGGCAUUAACAUGUAACGCAUUGCUAACUUGGUGAACUGAGCUGGUCAUCCAGUCUGUCUUGAGACAGAUGAUCUUGUAUUACCCAUUUGCAGAUGAUGUUUCUGGUGAAUCAUUUGAGGCUGUGAUUCACAGCUUGACUGUAGUGAUGUUCAAGUCAAAAAAUGCACUUUAUCUCAGAGCAGGAAGGGCUAUGCUGUCUGCUUUUCUUGAGUCUACACCUGUCAGUCUGCAAUGUGCAACUGAGUGCAAAGCCAAGAAAAAAACAAGAAGUUUACUCACCAGUAUGAGAGCCAAGAAGCAGCAGUUUCCUUGGUCAUCUUGCUUCUGCCACAAGCAGCCAUGUCCUUAGACCUGUUCUCCAAUGGUUCUGUAACAGGUUGUCACCAGGUUUUUUUCUGCACCUUCCUACUUCUUUCUUGACCACGUCAGGUUUGUCCCUCUUAAGGUUUUCUGUAGGUGAUGGAAGACCAGAAUCGUUCAUCUCACGUCCCUCAUUUUUGCAUGAGCAUGAAACCAAUGGUCUUACCAGCAGUUCUGGUGUUACCUAGCUCUGUUUUCUGUCAGAAGUUAAAAUCUCAUGUUGUCUGUGUAAAUGAAGCAUCAGCUCAUGCAUCACGUAAUUAAAGCAGAGAUUCUCAUCUUCCUCUGCCAGUCCUCCUUCAUCACUGUCUCAGGCACAGCAGAUGAAACAGCCUUAUUUGCUUAUCAUGCAAAUUCAAAUCAGGCAUCGUCUGAAAUAAGACUCUCUAAUCCUUCCUAGGGUUGUCUAGACUUCCAUAUUUCUAUGUGAGAUUUUAGAGAUGAAUUCCUUGGCCAUCUGCACAUGUAAAACUUCUGCAGUGUUUCACUGUCUAAUUAAUCACUCCUUCCAACGUUGUUUUCCCUAACAUGACAUAUUUACUCCACGCAGGGUGGUGUUGUGCAGGGUAGUGGUUUGACAGAGCAGCCCUUUCUUGUCCCAGAUUGCAGCGUGCCAGCCUCUGUUCUCUGCUUGUUGCAUGUAAGAUCAUUAUUUUCAUAUGAGGAAGAAUAUCACAAGCAGCCUCUUCUCCUAAGCAACCUUGACUUUCCUGUAAGGAUCACAGCCGUCCUUGGUUAUCUCCUUCCACGCAGCUGGGACUGCUCAGUGCUGCCUUGCUGCUUCCUUGGGUAUUCCUACCUGUCUAUUCUGCUGUUAUCUCUUGUGUUACAUUCUCGCACCUCUUGUGGAAUUUCUCUCACAUGUUUAUUCUGCCCCAGGACCUGGCGUGACUCAGAGGUUGGACUUGAUAGACAUGAUAGUAAAACAAAUAAUGAUGGAACAUGAAAAAAUCAGACCUUGGCUGGCAAGUAUGGAGAGUGAGCUGGUGUGUAAUUCCAUUCAGGGCAGGGUCAGCACAGUGUUCUUCUGUGUUCCGAGCAGAUGUUUGUGUGGGCUGCUCUUGGAGGUCCCUGAUAAUGGAAUUUCUGCUCCCCAACCAUUUGUUCCAUUACCUUGCUGUCCUCGCUCAUCAUAUUGUCUGACCUGAAUCUUCCCUUUCUUUUCAAAUGGGCGAUGAAUGGGAAAAAGGCGUUUCCAUUUCCUUUUGGAGCUGUUAAUAUUUAGUUGAAAGUACUGACAGAUUUUGUGGUCUCUGUCAGGGCAGCCACCUCUGUUUCUCCAUUCUCUCCCUGCAGGUUGUUUUCUGAACAGGCACUUGCUCUGACUGGCUUUCUGGCUGUAAGCUGUGUGAAGCAGGCUUAGGGCUCAGCAUUCAAAGCUGGGUGCUCUACUCCAAUGAGAUCUAGCUUAUGUAUGUCUUUGUUCCCCACAUGGUGCAGUGCUGCUGUCAAGCUGAAAAAUCACCACUAUUGACUCAUGCACACCUGUAAUUUCUCUUUUUUUCCUGCAGUGUUCUUUCUGCAGUGGAAGUGGCAGCAGUGAUAAGUUGGAGGUAAUUCUCAAUGAGGAUCUGAGUCUGGCUGGUCAAUGUGUCAGUGCCAAACUAUCUGAUUGGCAUGAGGAAACUGCAUGGCUUUGGGCUGGGAACACAACUGGAAAAGAUGCUGAGGCUGUCCAGAAGUCCAUGGUGGGAUGUAAGGUUUCUGAUCUUUUUCAUGGUGUUCUGGAUUUAUCCUUGCAGCAGCGUUCUCUGUUAUUUCAAAAACCAUUCCUUCUCUGACACUUGUCCCUUAGGUAGCGAAGGUAGGAGGAGGAAUUUUAUCCUUUUUCAACCUCCACUUUUGGGAACCUGAGCAAAAGCGAAGCACCUGUGUACGUGAUAGCAUCCAUUACCAAGGUAACGUCAGUUGUUCUUCCCUGGACUUGUUCCUUGCUAGCAAGAAUAAUUACUUACUCUUUUUUCUUAACUAUCUCAUCCUGGGGAUAUGAGAUGAUCCCAGUUUAAUUGCUGAAUCUUGAAUUUUAGAGACAACAUAAACAAAUGUAACUGUAUCAGAUGCUUUGAAGAGUCUGCAGGCUGAAAUGUGUCCUUCCCAUCCACACAACUCAGUGCUGAGGCAGCUGAGGAGCAUGCUCUGCCAACACCAGGCCAAGCAAAACCUCACCAGGAUUCUCAGACUGAUAAAACCAAUCCUGGAGGAAAUGGAGAAAAAUCUGAAUAGAAUUUCUUAUUAUUAACUGCUAUCUGUACUGAGUGCAGUAUUACUAUUCUAGGCCUUCGAAAAUGACAUGUUAUUUUCCUUUCCUUUUAAAUAUGACAAAAGCAAGCCUCAGACUAAGUAGCAGAUAUUAAAUAUUGAAUAUUCCAAAAGGAUUUUUCAUCUGUUAAACAUAAAGACUUCUCUCCAAAAAGAAGCAGGCUGGUUAGGCCAUAUAUGUUUGUUUUUCUCCAUGCAGGAUGCGUUUUCCCACUUCAGCUUAAGCUGGAUAAACAGUUGAGUAAAUGGAAGCACUUUCUCUUAACAGAAAUGCUAUUACUAAAAACAGUCAGUGAUUUAAUCAAUUGAGUUUCACAGUAUUCACAGUUCACCCUCUUGUGUGCUAGAGUUCAGCACUGUACAAACAGGAUCAGAAAUUCUUUGCUUACCUAGCAGCAAACUGGCUGCUUAGUCAGACACGCAGAGCACACUGUUGAGCCUUCAGUGCUGGAAUAAAGUUUUGAUAAUCGAGCUUUCUCCUACAGCACCAUUUGUUGUAGGGUCGGAUUUUUCAGGUAGCAGCUGUGCAAAGCGCCUCAGCUGCUGCGUCCUCUGAACGAAGUGCAAACAGUGAUCUUUGCAUGGAAUGGGUGGUGGGAGAUGAGCUGGGGAAAUACUCAGAGGCUUCCAACGUUAUUGCUGCUCAUGGGCUGCAUUUCUCUUUUUGAAGAUUCCCAGAGCUUGCAAUGUAUGGUGUAUAUUUAAAAGCCUCCUGAGGACGGGAAUAAAGCACAUUUUUCUUUCUUUUCCCCGUACUUCAUGAAUUGCUCCUUUCUUGAAAGCCACAAAUGGUGGAACCUUGUUUGUUUUCUUACAUCCAUUUCUGCUGUUCUCACAGUCGUCUUAAAAACGUUCUGUUUCUGUCAUUGUUCCUUAAAUAUUUGCUUUCCAAUCUCGCAUGGCCUUAUGAAUGGAAACCCAUAGGAAAUGAAUGUUUGUGUUUAUUAACGCUUCAACUUCUGCUGGUUAAGAGCUCUGGAAUAUAGAGCAGCAUGGGCAAAACAAGAGUUGCAUUUUGAAAUGCUGUUUGUGCAAGUGCUGUGGUUGCUGUCUGUUUCCUCCAAGGCAGCUUUAGGAGUCAAGGAGGUGUUCAAAACUGACAGUUAAUUUGAGUGAAAAUAGAUGCAAAAAGUGUCUGUUGGCAGCUGUGGGAUGUCUUAACUAGAAAGUACAGCAAGUGUGGAUGAGAAUGCGUGUUUGUAAAGAAAGGUGGGUGUUCACCUGGACAGAAUCGGGUUCUGGAAUACAAAAAGGUUGAAUUAGCAUGUGCAGGUAUGUGGAACUGCAUUCCAAUGUGUGUCCUCACUCACAGUGACCAAGCAAACCGAGCUGCUGUGUAUGCUGGGCUUGUUUUACUGUGCCUGAACCUAAACCACUCAGAAGUUCGGGAUAAAUGAGUGUACAGAGGAGAAGAAAAAUGACUUGAGUGUUUGUAUUCUAUUUGCAUUCAGUAGUGUGUCUAUGAGCCUUAAAAAAGCCAACGAAACGAAGUUUCAGACAAUGCGUUUCUGCAUAUAGGUUAGUGAAGGUAAGGUCUGGUGUACAGGGAAAGUCAGUGCAAGGAAAGUACUUGUUAUUGUGAUAGAAAUCAAUCAUUUUUUAUUCUGUGAGGUUGGAAAAACAAAAAAAAAAAGGAUUCUAGUAUGAUAUUCACUACGUUGGGUGAAUGCUAGAGGGGGAUUUUUGUUCCUCUGCAAUGAAGGCAGUGGCUCAGCAACUAAUAGUUCUCACAAACACCAACAAAACCUUUUCCCCUUGAUCUCAUCUUAGAAUCUCCAGCCUUCCUCUUCCUUCUGUCAAUACUUGUGUCUUUCUCUUCUUCUCUGACUGCAAAGGAAGCAUGGGUGCAACUUACAGCUAGGCGUAGGAAAUGAAUUCAAGCAAAGCGAGGUGCUGCUUGGAUAAUACACACAUUUCUGCAAAGGGCUUCCAUCACAAACCCAUCUUAGAAUCAUGGAGUAUCAUGUUUGAUUAAAUGAACUCCAACAAAGAGAAGAGAAAAGGCAAUGAAGGAGGUGCAGAAGGAUUUGAGUUAACUAGGGCAUCCUACUGAGAACCUCAAACAGCGAUGGAAGGCCUGCACUACUGAACAGGCGAAGUAAAAUAAUCUGAGUAUAACUGCAGCCUAUGGAAUUGUGGUGCUCCAGAGGGGCUGUGAGUGGGCUCCUGCCAUCCUCUUGCAUUGCUGCUUGCUCUCCCUGAUCUGUUGUUUGCUCAAAUCAAACCCGAGGUCAGCAAAACACGUGCUGCUGUUGUGAGGUAAAUGCUGGGCAAGCGGUCAAACGACGGAGGCAGAUCCAACCACCUGCUGGCUAUUGAGGCCCCUGGUCUUUUUAUUCCAUUGCUGGGAUUGCAGGCAGUGCCUUGUGAUAGCAGAGCAGAAGCUGGAAGUUUGGCUGGUGAUAUGGAUGGGAAGAACCAGUUUGGGUUGAGCCAGCACUGCCUUGUGUUGCAGAGCAUUUCUUCUUCCGAUGCAGUAAUAAUCGUACCUGCUGCUUAGCUUGUUCACUGAUAGGGAUGAGUACAUGUCAUAUCCUUUUAAGGUAGAACAGCAAACUCUAGAUGUGUAUUUGGUCAGCAUUAAGUGUCACGCUGUGUUUUAUCCAUAUUUCUUCUUGUUUCAAGGUAAGUAGAUGUGACUUGGCUGUUAAUGUGGCUGUAACUGAGCCCUAAAAUGGAGCUGUUGCCUAACAUGCAUAGUCAGACAGUCCAAAACCAACACAGUACUCUUGUCUUUGUGUAGAUGACUGUAUGGGGACGUCACUGAUGUUAAAGGGCUUUUAACUUGUUGCCCAACAAGCACGUGUUGUGGCAGCGCUUUGUUAGCAUACCCACUGCUGCUUCCAGGAUCUUAUCUUCUGUUUCUGGCUCUGGAAUUCUGCAUCUCUGGAUUUCUAGAAACCAGAUUUGUUGGUCUUCCAUGAAUUUAGUAAAUAUGUAUCACCAAACAGACUUCAUUUUGUAUUAUCCCUGAUUUUAACAACUUGGAGUAAUUGAGAAUAAGGUAAAAUCCUUAGCAGGUACCAGCGUGGGCCAGGAGGUGUUUGAGUGCUGUGAAGUUCGAUGCAAGGACUGUUUUGGAGUUCAGACAGAUUUUCAGUCUGUCUCAUUUAUAUAAAAUCAUGUUUAACAGAUGUAUUCCUAGGAUUUUUGCUCUGAAAUUUCUCUUUAGCAGCACACCAUGAUUUCUGUAUGCAUUUCCCCAGCGCAAGAAACUAACUUUCUGCUUUGUAAUGCCACUAUUAGAAACUGCAGAGGUAGUGAUAGGUCACCACUUUCUACAACUUUGCCAUUCCUCUGGUGCUGAUCUUUGCCACAAUUAGGUGCAACAGGUCUGAGAAUUGAGGAGCACUUGGUGUAGCACUCAGCUGCAAGCAGGAGAAAGGAACAAAGUGAUGGAGCAGUGAGUGCUGCUGCAUGCUGAGGCUUCUCCAGGUGUGUCUUGUGGCCCCUUGUCCCCUGAAGGGGUGGUGUGUGACCUGAAGAGGCACUGAUCUGCUCCUGGGCUCCUCAGCAGCCUGUGAUGUCCUCUUAAGGCCAUUCUGUCAAUGAAUAUGCCAAUGAUAAAGUGUUUUGGGUUUUUUUGUACCUUGCAUUUCACCGGGGAGGUGUGUUGUCACUCGUUACCUUGCUGGGCAGGUUUAAUGGGGUGGAGGUUCUGGGAGAACUGGUGGGACUGGAAGUAAGUCAUACUCCUUCAGUAUUAAAAUUGAGCUAGGCUUCUGAAUUAAAAGUGGUUAUUUGCCUGAUUUCCCUUCAGAAGCUCUAAUAUACCCAGGGAACCAAGGCUAAUUGUCUGCUGCAUUGCUUUUGGUUGGCUCAGAUGCAGACCUCAGAGUGGGAGGAGAGCGAGGAAAGACCUAUGGGUGGGAAAUCAGGGACGUAGCACACUUUGGAACCUUUUAAUCCCUUCCUCCUAAAGUAAAUGAAUGAAUUUGUACUAUUUUCUUUGAGCAGAGUUCCUGGUGUCUGUUCUGUGGGCUGUUGUGUCGUCCAAAGACUUCUAAACCUUCUGCAGACCUAGCACACUGCUUAGGAAAACGUGCACAGCUGUGCAUGCACUUAGGCAUAGCAGUUGUGCUUUUAUGAACUGUCUUUGUACAAAUGUAAUGACACCAAUACAGGCAAGUUUAAUGAAUGAGCUGGGUUUGUUUUCAGAUAACCUCAGUUGUGUCAGUACAAAACCUGUGCACAGACAAACCUUUGCUUUUGCUACUUACACGGCAGUACAGAGGUGAGCUGUGCUCUGCAAGGUGUAUCGUGCUGCUUCCCUUAAUCAAGAGGAAACUGAGGAGAUGGUGCGAGGCACUUCAGGAAAAAGUGGCAGUAGAGAGGUCUUGAGGUGCUUUGCUUAUUCUUUUCUGGAUUGGGAGAAUAGAGGACUCUGGAUAUCAAGGAAGAAGCGUGCUUGGCAGCCACUCAGAGAUUGUCUCAAGGGUACUGCAGUGGCAUUGCCAGCAUCAGGCAUCAAAGCUGGCCUUCUGCAUCCAGUUUCCAAUCAGCCCCAUGCAGUACAGCUGUAAGCAUUCGUUGUGCUGCUACCACCUGGCUGUGGCUGCGUCUGAUUCAACUCUGCUACUUGUCCUAAAAGGAAUAAUCAGCUGUGCUUUAAUUUAACUGAACAGGAAAGGUUCAGGUAGGCCAAAGCCUGUGCCACCAACUCUCAACAAAGACAACUUUUAUUUUGAGAGGAAUGCAUUUUAAAAGCCCCGUCUUUCCUGUGCCAACUUCCCUCCAGCUGCUUUGCUGGUAGCAGGAUCCUAAUUAGAACUCUCCUGGCACAGAACUCCUGUUCUAACGCACGUGUGUUGCCAUUGAUUUUCACAAGGCUGCUCAGGUGAGGUUAAACAGCCACAGAGUGAUACUGAGCUCACAGCUGCAAGCCUGCAAUAGGUUAAAAGCACCCGGUCAGACUGUGGAUAGUGAAUCCUGGUUGUAAUGAAACGGCUGGUAACUUCUGGGGAAAGCAGGGGUGGCAUUUCCCCUGUGAGUUUCAGUGGCAGCAUUUCCUAAGGGGUGCGGAUUCACUUUGCCAUUUAAAGCUAUUUGGAAUCCUUCCACCAACCAUCAGUGGUGUCACACUGGGCCGUACUGCUGUGCCAUGACAUACAGCGCCCAAAUAUCUGGGGCUGCCCCAAGGAACCCCAAGUGCUGAUGCAGGCAGCCCAGCAUGGCAAAUCCUACAGCUGUGCUGCUGCUGACCUUGGCCCGCUGCCUGCUGCGCCUCCAGCCCCAAAGCUCCUUGGAUCUCCUUGGCUUGCCUGGAUCUCCAACAAUCUCUUGGCAGGUGAAAAUGGCUUACUUUGAAGGAGAGGCAGAUUCCCCUUUGGUCUGCAGUUCACUGCACCAGCACCCGCCUUGCAGCGUGUGUUUGCUCCCAGCCUGGUGCCUCUGCUGUGCUCUGAACAUUCCUCCCUUAAUGAAGUUCUUUAAUUACUGUUUUUCUUUGUGGAAUGCCUCAUGGUCUCUUGGUCUUUUGAUACCAUCAGACUGAAAGGGAGAAGAAAAUCCUUUAGACAAUUUUCUGACUCCCCCUAGAGGAUUUCCUUCUGGGCCCAGCACUGGCCACGCAAUGGGAGCAGCAGAGCAGUGGCUCACUGUGUCUGCACAGCUGGGUAUCAGCACAGACUGCAUUUUUCCAGCGCCCACAGAGUGCUUUUCUUUUCCUGUCAGUUCCUGCUAAUGUCUCCCUGACUUUAUUCCCACUGUUCUUUAAAUAUAAAUGCUCACAGGCCGUUUUUCCUCAGGCAACACAGGCCUGGCAUUCUCUGCCAAAGGAUCCCACUGCAGCUGUUGCAGAAUGGCUGUUCUCACAUCUACUGAUUCCUCCGACCCAAACUUUGGGAUGCCCCUCAUCUCUCCCAUCGCACCAUUGAGUCUCAGUGCCCACUGCAGGUGACUGCUCAUUUCCGUGAUACCAUCUUUUCCCCCUGUCCCAUCUAAGGGUGCCCAUAGGUUGCUUGCAUUUCUGCACAGUCCUUCCUAUUGCUGCCCACUGUGUCAUGCCCCACCUGCUGAGAAAUGCCAUUCGAGUGGAACAGGGAUGUGGCUUCUUUACAAAGGGUGCAGGAAGGGUCAGAGCUUUGUGAUACACCAUCUGAAUGUGGGCCUUCCCAGAAAGGUGCCAACUUUGUGCCUGUGGAAAGGAAAAUCCGCUACGGUGCUCUGCAUGAAAGCCUUUUGGUGAGUGUUCAAACAGUAAGGGGCUCACUCUGUUCCAGAUGUGUUGUCUGUUUAACCACUCAGUCCCCAUCGCUUGAUGACAUCAGGGGAAUGCUGUUGCAGCAGCAGGAAAAAGCCGUCCCGGCUCUCUGCUCUUCCCCUUCUUGGCUCCAAAUCCCUUUGUUCUCUUCCUUAGCACACAGCCAUGGGUCAGGAGCUGGGUUAUUGCUGCACUGAGCCACGCUUGGUUUGACAGGGGUGUUGCAGCCACCCCUCAUUGCCUAAAGGAGCUGUUAAUCAGAGGAUGCUCAGUACCACGGGGGGAGGCGAUCCUCCCCUCUGCUCUGCCCUGCUGAAGCCACGUAUACAAUCUGCUGCCCAAUUCUGGGCUCCCCACUUCAAAACAGCCCAGGCUUUUUUGCACCCCCAGUCUGCAAUGCUGAUGCCAGCUCUGCCAUGGCUGCUGCCAGCUGUGCAGACUCAAACCCACACAAAGCAACAGAAACAUCUGGCUGAGGCAGAGAGGAUGGCAUUGCUGGUACACCAGGUUUCCUUCUCACCGUGCCCCUCACCAGCUCUUUUUGCUCCCCAGCCCUCCUCCUGCAUGCUUGCAGCCAAGGAGCAGUUGUGCUCCAGGAAAAGAGCCCAGAGGAGGGACGCAAGGAUACACAGAGCACCUCCUGACGUGGGAAGGCUGAAGUCCCUGGGUCUGUUCAGCAUGGCAGCGAUCUGAUCCAAUAUCCGACGAGGCUCCGCAACAACCCUGCGACCCUCUGAGCCCCCAGGGCGAAGCACGCGGCGCUGCUCCCAGCCGCGGCCUCCCGACGCCAUGCCCUGCAGCUGCUGUGCGCAUGCGCACAACGGGCAGCACCGCCCCGCAGCGCCGCCAUGGCGUUGGGGCUGCGGGUGAUGCGGGUAGCGCUGCUGCUGCUGCUGCCGCCCGGCGGUGAGGGGCAGCCGGCCGUGCUGAGCAAGGGCCGUUUUGUAGGGGGUGUUCCCCAGCCCAGCGCUAUUAGUCUGGGCAUCAGGGACAGCCUUGUCCAGGCCAGGAGAAGCAGCAAAGGAUGAAACCCUGGGGCACCUGCUGGCUGUUCUGCACCAUGCUGCACGAGGAGCUCAGCACGCAGCAGGAGCUGCCACCCCCAGCAAUGGCACAACUGCUCCUUGGCUGCAAGCAUGCAGGAGGAAGGCUGGGGAGCAAAAAGAGCUGGUGAGGGGCACGGUGAGAAGGAAACCUGGUGUGCCAGCAGUGCCAUCCCCUCUGCCUCAGCCAGAUGUUUCUGUUGCUUUGUGUGGGUUUGAGUCUGCACAGCUGGCAGCAGCCAUGGCAGAGCUGGCAUCAGCAUUGCAGACUGGGGGUGCAAAAAGGGAGAAUGGCAUCCUUGAUCAGUUGAGGAAUGGAUUCGGUGACAUCUUUAAGGAGUGUUCUUGAAGAAGCCAUGCUAAAAAUCACACUGAAGCUUCAAAACUCCCAACCUGCUGCGAAAUGAUGAUGAAGGUUGCUCAGUGGGCUUCUCCAGACUGCAGGGGUGCCUAUGGGCGUGCAGGAUGACAAGGCAGUCACAUGUGGAGUAUCAGCAGUUACACACAACGUUCUGUGCAAAUGUGAUGAGAAUAAAUUGGCUCCAGCAAUUCUUCUUUCUCUUCUUCUUUACUUUUAGGCAGACAUAUUUUCAUUUCUGAUCACUGGAAAGCAAGUUUGUACUGGUGCUAUUUUUAUUUCCUGCUGCUGGUUGCCAGAUUUGUGGAGCUGUAUAUUAUGUCUGUUUUCUUUCUGCUGGUUUCAGUAAAAUUCCUAGAAAGCUUCUGUCAGCUAUUGCUCCUCCUUGAAGCUCAGCCCUCUGCACAGGCUCAGGGCUGGAGAUGGGAGCUCACUUUCCUUUUGGCAUAAAGGCUCUUUUAAACUCAAUCUGUUCAGCUGUGUGGUUUUGAGUUCAGUAUCCAGGACAUCCUCCUCCAUCCUUUUUGGUCAUUAGAAUGGAUUCAUGCCACGAUUCUGUUUAAAGUUUGGUGUAUUUGGUUAACAUAUUUCCUUAGACCUUUUUUUCCUUCUGCCCAGUGGAAGUUAGCAGUCCAUGUUCCUGCAG